CUCUCUCUCUCUCCUGUUUGUUUGGCCAUCUUUCUUUACUUCAUUAUUCAUUACGUAGUCCAUUAGGCUCUUUCGGUGCUUUCACUGAUAUGUUUAUGUUUUUUCUUCAAACGGAUCUGCACAAGUCAGUCAUCACGGAGGGAGGCUCAGGUGUCAGAUGGCAAACCCACUUGCUCUGGAAUGUCUCUGAGACACUGAGGAGUCAGACUGAUUCCCUUUUCUCUCCUGAGGCUAUGGCAGUGUUUCCAUGACCCUUCUUGGGAGAUGAGCAAGGACAGUUGAAAUCAAUAGCUGAGAUCUGCUUUACCUCGAGCCCCUUCUAGCCCGGCUAUAAAUGAGCGGGUGACUGGGAGUGAAAUUGAUUGUAGAGGCAGAUGGAAAAGACUCAGGUUUGUUUUGAAACUGACCGCAGUGAGGGAAACAUGAGAUUAGCUGUAAAUCAUUAGCUGCUGUAUUAGUGUCUCCAUUGAUGUGGAAACGGGGAGCUCAUCUUUGACCCUCUGAGACAAAGGAGAGACUGAUGUAAAAAUAGCUUGCAUGUAAUGUGUUGUAUUACUAACUCAACCUAAUGGAAGCAUGCAUCCGAUUUAUUGAUUAACAUUCCUUUGAACAUUUUCUGAGGUAAACACAAGGUUGGCCAUUCUGAAAUGUCAUUUAGUCCUGAAGUUAAUGUCAUGUCAAUAUCAGGAGAUAAGAUUUUUUUCUUGGAGAGCUAUUCCUGUUAUUACUUCUAAUUACUUCUAUUACUAAUCCUAUUAUUAUUAUUACUAUUACUUCGUCUCUGUCCACUAUCUCUGUAGUCUUUGUGCAGGUACAGACAAGAAUUUUGAUGUUUUCCAGUACUGAGAACAGAGCAGAAAACGCAGCUUACUCAAAACUCAAAUAUAAUGGAAAAUUAAGGGUCUUUUUUUUUUUUUUUUUUUUUAAUUCUAUCGAUAUUCAUCUAUAUAAUGUGAAUUCAAAACUUCACCUGUUGCACUCAAUGGGUAGCGUUGCUGUCUCACAGCUCCAGGGUCCCCGCUUCAAUCAUGAGCACGGGUUACUGUCUGUGUGGAGUUUCACAAUGUGGGUUUCCUCUGGGUUCUCUGGCUAAAUAUGCUAAAUUGCCUGUAGGUGUAAAAAAAAAAAAAAAAAAAAAAAACCUUCCUUACCUCAAUCCAACAUUCAUUCACCUGUUACUUUAUAUAUUUUACAGGCAUGAAUUGUAAAUGCACACAACAUUGUCUCGAAAGUGUCCCAAAACAGAUUUUACAUCAUCCUGAACCCUAUUUUUACCAUCCUCAGGAUUAUGGGAUGUUGACUGACUCAGUUUGUUCAUGGUACCCUCCAUUGGAUUAGUGUCCCAUCCUGGAUAAAUUCUCUUCGCCUUGGGCCAAGUGUUUUCCAGAAUAGGCUCUGGAUCCACUGUGACCCUGACCACAAUAGAGCAGUUACUGAAGUUGAAUAUUCAAUGAAUGAACUGUUGCACCCAUACAAUAAAGAUGCAAGGCUGAGACAGACCAAACUUCUCUUUAUGGAGGUUUAUCCAGCAUUGCAGCAGUUCUAGUAACUUAUACUUUCCCAAAGGUUUUGUGGUAUCCAUGCACAUAUCAGGCUAUAUGACUAUGAUGGUCCCCCUGAAAAAAUAGUCCCAUCAAUGAAAGGACAAAAUUAGGCAGAUUUUAAUGAAGAAUUCAUAAUAAAUUUCUACAAAAAUGCUGGGAAACAUGUUGAAAUUCUUGUCUCUGGUAAUUGCACAUAUGCUACAGAUGGUGUACAGUAGGUUGAAAAAUACUGGAAUAUUCCUUUAAUACAGUCUUUUUAGGGGAAGACUGUGGCUGGAGCAUUUACUUUGUACAGAACAGCUUUGCUCAGUAGUUAAGCUAGCUAAUCCUAUCCUCAAGGCAAGCAGGCGAUUAUCUUUGUGUAUGGUUGUACUUUGUGGGUGUGUUUGUUAACAAUUCUCUGUAUUUGCUUCUUUUGUAGAUUUGGGCUAUGACUUCACUGACCUGUCAGUGUGUUAUGUUCAGCAUACAUACAUAUACAUAUAAUAGAAGAUCUGAUAGCAGUUUUCCCCCAGUAUUAAUUAUGGUUUUUAUUAAUAUAAAAUAACCUACUAUGAGUAAUCUUUGUGCAUCUCAGCUUAAGCCUUCCCUUGGUGUCCCUGUACCCUGAGAGAAAAGCUUGAGAGGGAUGGAUCAAUCCUUUAACACCCCCAUCGCCUCUAGUCUAAUCCCCGUAUAAAUAGGCCACCAUGUCUAUUUCACAAGCAAUAAAGCAGUGUGUUCAGAAAGAGCCCCUCUCUCAGGGACUGCUGUGGGUUAUUACUCUGGCAGGAAUAAGAUCCCAGGGGGCAAGACAACAAAACUGUUCACAUCUUAUCCAUUUUCCACCCUUUCCUUCUGUCUUCAUAUGAGGGUGCUGAUAUUUGUAUCCCUUGUGUCAGUGGCCUGAGAAUGGUGCUUCAUAUUCCUAUCGCUCUUUCCUUUUAGAGGUAUACAUGAACAGAAAGCAAAUGAGUUGACCCUGAUUUUGUACUCUCUAGGACAGAAAUGUGUGUGCUGCCUUGUGACUAGAUCAGGCACCUUAACCUAUUUGCGUAUCUUUGUCUGUUCCCUAAUGAAUAGGGCCAAUUUUAGAAGCUUUAAUGGGAAUGGAAAAUUCUACACUGAGCAGAAAUAUUUCCCCAGUUAAAAUCAGAAUUUAUUUUUCUCCUUAACUUCUCAAAGACAAAUACGCUGCAGGGAAUGUUGUAGACUAAACAUUAGCAUGUGAAUAUAUCAAAAAAAUAGCUAUCUUUAUUUCUGUAGUACCCUUUUCAAUUAGACUUGAAGUGCUUUACAUAUUUCUACGGACCUGCCAACCUUUAUGCAUUUUGUCUCAGAACCUCCACAUUUUAACACCAGAGCAUGCUGCUAUCACUCAAAAAUAUACAAAAAGAGCCCCCCCAUUUAAAUCAGUAGAUGAUCGAAUCAACAUAUGAAUCUAGAAGUGACAACUGCUUAGGUGUUUUGAACUUUCCAGUGUUAGCGGACACCCUGAAAGCCCCAUCCCUCGCCCCAUCUCACAUUAGUAAUCUAUCGUCCUCAACUUGAUUUUCUUGCUUGAAAGAUCUCACUUUCUGUCAAAGUAAAUGGAGAAUGUUUAUUAUAAUAAUGUGAAAUAAACUCUAUCUAUAAUGUAUGUUUGACUUAGCUUACAUUAGACAAGUAUAUAGUUAAGUCUGAGAGAUCAGUUAAGUCUGGGAAUUAUUGAACAAAGUAUAUUAUUGAAAGUAUAUUGUUGAGUCUACAAAGAUUAUUGAAAUGACUAUAAAUAUAUAAUAAUUACUUCAAAUCACAAUUUUGAAUAUAUAUUAAAUAGGAAAAAAGACUUAAUAACUACAAAUCUGCCAGGUUAAAAAAUAGAAAAAAGACAUGUAUAGAGCUUUGCAUUAAUAAUGUGUAGAGUUUCAUAGAGUUUAGUAGCAAAAAACUGUGAAUGUUCUUGGGAUUAACAGUAAAAUUGUCUCCUAUGAAAUAUUCAACAGCACUGUACCAUGAACAUUAACUGCUUUAAAUAUGUUUCUAAUCUCCCUCUCUCUCUCUCUCUCUCUCUCUCUCUCUCUCUCUCUGUCGUCGUGGAUGAUUCCUCUACCCACAAUGCUCUGGCCAUUUACAUAUCACUCUGUCUUUCAGGUAAGUCACAAUAGAAAGUUAUAUAAUUUGCAGUGUAAUAUAAAAUCUGCUCUUCUAUCAAUAUGAUCAUUAUGUGUAGUGAAAAUUGUAGUUGUUGACUGAAGAAAGUCUGAAAUCACGUUAAUAAUUUGAGUCGGCUUGACAGCAGGGUUUCCCUCCUCUGGCCCCCCCUAGACUGGUCGAUCAUCAAGAACUCUAUAAUUACAGGGAUUACACGCUUCCAGUAGUUAGUGUCUGGUAGCAUUAAUGGCGUCACAUGAGACGCAUGCCGUAACCUGUCUCAAAUCAGCAUUUGGAGAAUAGUUUCCAGGAGGAAGAGAUUUACAUUCAUGAUAAACUAUUGAACCGAGCCUGUGCGUGAUUGACAUCACAGGAGUGUGUGUGGUUUGUUAUCCGAACACUUGAGUAGGGGAGCUCCACGUCUUCACACUGGGAGAAAAUCCCGGAGACAGGAAACGCGUUUUCAGCUGUGCACAAAUUGAAAGAGGUGGUGAAAUAGAGAGAGCUGUACAGCUAAUUAGCUGUCAGCAGGGGUGUAGAUUCUACAAUGACAAGCUCAUUCUGCUCUUUUUUCUGGCAUUCCUCUUUUUUCCCCAUGUAUGCUUUCUCCUCCUGUGUGUCCGAAAGGGAGCAUUGUGGUUACACCUGCCCUCCAUCUCUCAUUAGUCAACUGUUUGUGUGUGUGUGUGUGUGUGUGUGUGAUUUAAUGCAUUCUGUGUUGGAAGUGAAACUUUUUAGAAGCAGGUCUUAAGCAGUUCUUGCAGUCUUUAAAGGGGCAGUUUGUAAUUUUUAGAGCCUCCUGCUGCUUGUGAGGUGAAUUGCAAUUGCAAUGAAAACAUAAAUCAGCCUUCCCCUUCCACCUGACUGAUCCCACCCACAAUCCUGAAACUACAUAUGCUCAUUAGUCUUUUAAGGAAAAUGGUCAGAGCUGAUCUCUGUUUUGGCUGGGGGCGGGGCUAAUAUUCAGGUUAAGAAAAUGUAAACGAAAGUCUGAAAACAAAGAAACUAGCCACGGGCUAGCACAUACAUCCUCCAAGACGUGUGAAGCCAGUCAACCCCACCUUUUCAAACUGCUGCUCAUGCUGCAUCACAGGGCAGCGUAAGACAUUCAGAGGAAAGUGCUAUCUUCUGCAUGCAUGAGUUCACAGACACCCACGGUUGGCUAGCCUCACUGUGAUUGACAGGGGAGAGAGUAUGCCUUCCCUCCAACCCUGAUAGCUAGGUCAGUUUUGCUUUCUAGCCUCCUGGCCAUGGAUGGCUGCGGCAACAUCAGGAUUUGAACUUGUGUUCUCCGGAUGACAGGGUGAGCACUCUUCUGUUGCGCCACUUACUUUGGAGCCUGAUUACUAUGAUAAUUAUAGGACUAGAAACACAAAAAUUACAUUUGAAAUACACUGAUUUUCGACUAUUUAACUAUUUAAGCUACAACAUUACAAUUGAAAAUAAAGUCAGGCUUUCUCAAAAAAAAAAACUAUAUUCAAGCAAAUGUAAUUCUAUAUCAUCUUCAUGAGGUUUUUAACUAAAUGGUGCUUUGACGCCACAUCAAUCCUAUAGUCAGUAACCUACCGUCGUUUCAGUCCUGCUGAAAAGCUCUUUGCGGAAAGACUGAGACACUCAGCCCUGCUCUUUUUUUUUUUUUUGGAUGACUUCAGCAUUAGUGUUUAAGUGGAGAUUUUUCCCAAAGCAAGCCAUUAAACCAAUAGAGGAGAAGCCCAAUGAAUUUGAAAAUCACACACAAAACACUUAGCAGUGGGGAAACACAUACACACAUUUACAAAAUAUCAUACAGUCAUGUACACAUAUUCUAAAUAUAGAGCAGAGACAAACUAUAUCCAAAUAAACAAAUACAAACUAUGGAAAGAGAGCUUGUGUUCAGAUGAUGUGCAGGGAAAACUGCAGUCUGUCUCUCUGUCUGCUGAUGUAAAAAAUAAAGACUAUGAUGCUCAUCAUGAAUAUCUUUUCACCAUACUUAUUACUGUUUAAAUUUAUAGUACAAUUAUAGAGGAGUAGUGAUUUAUAACCUCACUAUCCAGAGUCACCUAGAAGAGGAUGAGUUCCCUUUUGACUCUUGUUCCUCUUAAGGUUUUUUUCCCCUCAUGGUUUCUCAGGAAGUUUUUCCUUGCCAUUUUGACCUCUGAAUUGCUCACUCUACAUUGGGAUUUCUGUAAUUCUGCUUUGUGACUGAAUUUAAUUUAAAAAGCUCUUGUUUGCAGUGACAAAAAGGUGCAUUUUUUUGGUGCUUAUUGUCUGCAGCAGAGACCAAUGUUUUCUAUUAUCCUUUGAGUUUUUAAGGUAAAACCUUCAUUCACACCAAAACUACUCCAGGUAUUUAGAUGCUCUACAUAUUUAAUCUAGAAAUUUAAAUACCAUAAGCCUCAGAUACUACAAGGAUGUCUUCCCAUUUUCUUUUUCAUCUGUCUUUUUAUACAACUCAUUCCUCUGUAGUUUAGGUCAAAAAUGCUAGCUCCGUAGCAUUUUUCUGGUCUAUGUUAACAUUUACAGCUAUAAACUGUAGUAUGUCUCAUGCAUAUUCUAGUCUGGUGUGGUAGUAUACAAAAAAUCUUGUCUUCUAAACAUUAAAUGCAGUACAAAAGGAUUUUGGCAGCUGCUCAAGGUUACAUCAUGUCUUGUUUGGAGUUUAUUUAAACAGUGUAUUUGUUCUCCUUUUAAUCAGCAUGGUUGGUCUUGGACAUGCCCUUGCUUUGUGGUAAACUGUGGUAAACUGUCAGCAGGUAAGCGGAUGUGUACUGACAGUGUGAUAAAGCUAACAUGUUUGAACUGAAAAGUCACUUACUGUAAACUUCCCCUGUUUUUUUUCUCCAUAUUACACAGGGUAUCAGUUUAUCCUCUUUCCUGUUCUACAAACUAAUCUUAAGUUUGAUAGUGUCCCAUGUUAGCAGAGCCAUAAGUGUACCUGAAUUAAAAAAAAACGGGUCUUUUUCUGUUGUUUGUACUUCGUAGGUUAUCAGCACAGCAUCAAGAUUUCAAGACAAAUUCACAGCUAAACUCAGAAAUAGUGAGAGUUACAUUUGGUCUAAGGGCAGGGGUUAGUGGUCAUUCCUUCAUUCCUUCAUUCAUCUUCACUAACCACUUUAUCCUGGUCGGGGUCACGGUCGAUCUGGAGCCUUUCCCAGGAACGCUGGGCACGGAGCUGGAAUACACCCUGCAUGGGACGCCAGUCCAUUGCUAUGCACACACAUGUUCACACUUUAGAGUAGCCAGUCUCUAAACCGAGGUGGGAGGAAACUGGAGAACCCAGAGGAAACCCAAAUGAACAUUGGGAGAACAUUAACAGAAACUCCACACCGGCAAUAACCCAAGCUCAAGGUUGAAGCAGAAACCCUGGAGCUAUGAAGCGGAAACACUGCCUCCACCACCCUGCUGCCUGGUCAUAACUGUCUUCACAUGAAAUAGGACCAAAUCUCUCUGAAUGAUAAAUUUUACAUGAUAUCAGUUUGGUCUGGGACCACAGUAGUUCUUAUUAUAGUACAGCACUGAUGAGGGUGAUUUCAAUAUCAGUGAAUAAAUUAAUUAGAUGAACUUUUAAGUUAGUGUGUAAGAUGAAGUCAUGUUACAUUGACAGGAAAUCAGUAAUUGUGUUUCUACAAAGGAUUCAUAAGCACAAUAUUAUGCAAGUCCGUGAGUUUUCUGAUUUUUUCCGCUUUUUUUUUUUACACACAGUCACACCUAAAGGCAAUAUUUAUAGAGGGAUUAUAGUGCUUAAUAUUGACUCAUUGACAGUCUGCAUCUAUUGUUUAUUGCUGUCUGCUGUUAUCUGUGAGAAAACAUGAAUUCUUUAAUGAGACAUAAUAAAAGAAAUGGUGUUGGGGUGGUUUGUCUUAACUAAGUUGACAUUACACAUAGAUAUACACCAUCCUUGAGCAGAAUAUUCAGGUGGCCAAAAAGAGUGAAAGUUUCUAGGCUCAUAGCAGAGUAUGUGCUGUUCAGUGACCUCUUUUGGAGUAUUGGAGAGCUUGUUUAAAUGUUCAGUUCAGUUCUAUUCAUUCGACUUAUUGUGUACAGCUUACAUCAGCUAGUGUUAUAGGUAACUGUAUGUCUUAUCCAUUGUGCCCAUAAUAGACAACUGAUUGAAUUUGCGCAUUGGAAUUCAGCAGCGGAGAAAGACACUGUCAGUUGUGUAACCUCUUUCACAUCAUCUCUGUUUCUCCUUCUCUGGCUCUCACCUCCACCAGUUUGCUCUGUGAUACCCACUAAGCCCUUCAAAAAUGGCACCCUUUACAGUCAACCUUAGCACAGUACAGUACAUAAUAUAAUUUUAAGCCUUAAGCCUGUAAUAUGACCCACUUAUUCCCAAAAACACACAUUUUUUAUUAUUUUAUUAUGUUUUGAGCAUUCUGACCUUUCUUUGAUAAAUUGUAGGAUUGACAUAAUAAUAAUAAUAAAAAAAAUCUUGGUCCAAUUAAUGCAGGCCAAUACGUAACAUCCGAGCUUCACCAGUCCUUAGCAAUAUUUAUUGCAAUAUAUUACAAUUGCAAUGUGUACCAAUGUAAUAAUAGUAUGCCAUUUUUAUCCAUAUUAUCCAGCACUAGUCAAGAGUGUUCAUUAAAAAUGACUGCAGCUCAUUAGGAUAAUGCAUCUGUAACUGUAAAGUAUUGCAGAAGAAGCGCUCACACUUCUACAUGAUUAAAAUGCUCUUAUUGCCAUCUUUAUUUAAAUGCAGAGUGGUAAACAAUAUCCCAUCACCCUUGUUUAGUUGUGUGGGACUGUGUGAACUCUUCAGCUGGAUCUAAUUGACUCACAGCUAAUUGCUCUGAGCUGUUAUCUGCCAGGCUGUUGGAUCCAUUUAGAGUAUAACAGCGCUGUGUAAAACUUUUCAAGCCCUUAACUGUCAGAACAGGAUGUUAUUAUUCUCCAUAGAGAUCUCCACUCAGGUUCAGUGAGAGGAUCUCAUGGUGCUGGAUCCUGAAUAAGUGGAGCUGUAGGGGUAGGAGAGCUGAUGAACUGCCGGAACUGUGCUCCUCAGGAGUAAUCAAGUUUUGAUGACCACAAUGUUACGUAUUCAAGUCAGCCAUACUCUUCCUGGAAAAGGGCAGAACCAUAGCACUGACUGGAAACACACUGCUCGCUGCUCCGUGUGAUAGAUUGUUUGCAGAUUGUCUAACGCCACUCACUGAUACUCUCAUUGGAGUGUUUACUUGUGUCGCUUUGGAAAAUGUACAGUAACAAAUAAAAUAUUUAUCAUUAUACAACAUAUUCCUUGCAAAACAGUAUGAAGUGCAAGACUGAAAAAAAAAGUCUCGUUGAACGUUUCCUAAUAGUGGAUGCACUGCAUAGGAGGAACCAUGAAAAUAUAGAUUACAAUAAGUCAUAAGUUAUAUGUACAUUGCUAUUCAUUUUAAUUAUUAGACAGAUAAGGUCAACAUAUUGUAUGUGCAGGGAGCAUUUAAUCCAGUAAUAGUAUGAUUUAAAUAUUAAGUAGUAGUUUGCAGCUCAGUUAAAUGAACAGAAUUUACAGAAGUUACAGAAGCUGGAAGCCAGUAGGAGCAAAAGCGCCCAUUCCCAUGACCUUCUAAUUCUCCAGAAAGCAGACUCAAAGUAAGCAGCUUAUGUCAGAAUCAUAAAGAAAUGUCAGAAGUAAUGACGAGCAUUGACAGCUGAGAGGACUUAAUAGCUGCUCAGAGGAUAUGGAAGGUGUUGUAGGCGGUUAUACAGAAAAGAGAUGCAAAUGUUUUUGUCUUUUGUGUGACAUUUUGAUGACAUUUUUUCUUUUUUUACUACUAAUAUUUUAACAUACAAUAUUUGACCUUUGUAUUUGUUCAAAUACAAGGUUCAGGAGUUAAGGUUGAUGAGCUAUGGUUGAGGUGUUACAGUUAAGCAGUUAUGCAUAAGGAGUUAUGGGUAACGGUUUGUGGUUAUGAAGUUAAGGUUAAGGAGUUAUUACAGUUAUUACAGAGGCAUUUAAUGUAGAAUAGUGAUAGAGCAGUUUUCUUACCUAAGGAAGACAUGAACGCGGAGGACAGGAGAGACAGACUUUCUGAGAUACUGACUUUUUAUUCUGGGUAAGUUACCCCGACCCAAAAAUCAUGACCAAUGAAAUGACCCUUUCCUGAAUUUCUAGGGGAGGAAGGAUAGCUCUGAUCAGCAUGAUACAUCAUGGGGAAGGGGUGGGGAUGAGAUAUUCAAAGCUCUCUCAUUUCAUCAAUAAUACUGUAUAAUUAUAGUAAUGGUCCAUUAAUAAAAAUCAAUAGUUUAUUUAAAAAUUUUAUUUACACCACUUUUCCACACUGCAUCCUAGGCCCCUGGGUUUUCAGACUUUAAUGGGAGAUCCAGUGUAAACUAUGCAACAUUAAGCUUCAUCUGACAGGAAAGAAGCACUGUUCCAUUGCUGAAGUUUCCACACUCCCUCCAGGUCAGCAUUAAGUGCUGCAGAGAAAUCUCAGAUACUUCCUGUCUGUAAGCUUUCUGUCCUCAGUCUGGGUGUACACUAUCCCCCUGCUAACUGGAUAACAUAUUGUACUCCCACUAAUGUGACCACCAGACCAGGAUUCAGGGUGGAAUAUUAGGAUGGGUAAAAGCUCUUAUCUCAGGGAUUCUGUAGAAGAGAAGAUGGGAUGUAAAGAAUGAGGAAAUCUCUGGGGACUUCAUGUCAUCCCUCCAGUUUUCUUCCAGUUCUCCCUAGAAGUCUAAUAUAUUGUCUUUCUUCUGUACAGGGCUAAAGUAGACCCAAUCUGUCUAUAGAGAGGGAGUACUGUGGACACAUAGCCAUGGAUUUGAACUCCAUCUGUUGUGUAUGUCAAGUGAAGAUCAUCACUCAUUACUAGUGAUGAGAAAAGCAUCUUCCCAUCCUUUAUAAAUAGUGUAAUACAUGCUUCUUUAAUUUGACUAUUUUUGGCCUGCAUUUUGUUUGAAGUUCCUCAGCUCUAACUUAACCGUAAAAUCUCUGUACUCAUUCUGCAGUUCUGUAAAUUCUUUUUUUACUGUAGCAAACAGGACAAUGUUUUUGUUGGACAGCGUAUAUAACCCCAAAUUGCCACUAUAAAUUCCCUUUAUAAUAAAGUCAUCGGAUAGCAAAUGCACUAUUACUGCAAGAUUGCUUAUCCCGGUCUUCAGGAAGAUCUCCGAUCUUUAGGCUUUUUUUUUCUAUGUUUGCGGCUGAACUGUUGAGUCUGGUCUGGAGAAUGUAUUAGUGAUGUGGCACUGUGGUGUAGCUAAGUCCAAUUCUCUGGAGAUGCUCUGCUUUAUAGUUUGUCUGGUCUGAAUCACUCUUGUCUGCUCUUACAUUUGCAACAGAAUGAAAUGAGUGAUGCUCACUGAAUCUGCUUUGUGUUGACUCUGUCAGAAGAUAGUUGCGUGUUUAAUGGCAUUUUAAGUGCAUUUUGAAUGGCCGUAUUUUACGAGUAAUGAACUCCAUCAUGUUCCCUCUGUAAAUGGAGCCUGCUAGACUACGAGAGAGAGAGAGAGAGAGCGAGAGAGAGAGAGAGAGAGAGAGAGAGAGAGAGAGAGAGUACAGAUAUCACAACCACAUCUCGAAUUGGAAGGAAGGCAUCAUGUUUUCUCUAUCUUUGUAUGGUGGUUGGAUAUGAGCCAAGCGCCAGCAAACACAGUGUGUAGAAAAUAGACAGAAUUAAUGGCAAAAUGUUACUAAUAUAAAAUCUUGUAAAAGCCCAUAUCAAACCCACACAGAGAGUAAGUGACUCAAUAAUGAGUGAGUGGCAUCGUAUAAAGUGUUAUUGAGUAUUUUAUUGUCCCCUGACUCAAUAAUCAUGUUUUCAUUUUUAACAUUAAAAAACUCCUAUGCGUUCUAGCUAGCGACUUAAUGAGUGAGUGUUGUAAUAAAUGGAUAUGUGUCUGAAUGAAAGAGUGAGUGAGUAAAUGAGUGACUUGAGAGAGAAGGAAAUGUAAUUCAGUGGGAAUAUAUGAAGCUUUAUGGUGAAAGAUUGCUGUAAGAAUAACACUGCAGAUCUUGACUAAGGUUAAGGGCUUAGUCGAGGCAUCUGGGCUUCUACCACAGCUGUUUAUAGUUCACUUUGCUGAGCUGAACUAUACUUUAUGAGCCACUCAAUCCUCUACCUUCAGGUCUUUGUAAUUUGUGGACGGAAUAUCGCCACACACAGUGUCCAGUUUUAUUAUUGUUGGAGUCAAUCUGAUGUCUGUUUCUGUGCUAGAGUUGUUCUUUAUAAAGUAGUAGCUGAUAUUUCUACUUACAACUGUACCGAGCAAAAGUUACCUGGAAACAGAACGAGAAACAAAAGAUUGAAGGUAAAACAUAGCCAUGAAGGUCAAGUAUUUAGUCUGUGUGCCUUUUUUAUAAGGUGAUCUUUGUUUAUGCUAUCAGUUUAUCCCCUGAUAAGUGGACGCUUUUCUGUCCAUGUCCAUGAAUUGUGUUUUUUUUGUUUGUUUUGCUGUGCUGAUUCCUGUCAAUGAAGCCAGUAAACAUGUAAUGAUUAAUGACCGAGUUGCACCCAACACACAGGUGAUAAAAGAUGUUUAAUAAUGUAGGAAAUGCCAGGAGUGUAGUAAUGAUGUCCAGAACAUGUGGAUUUUACAGAUUAGUGAAAGAUUCCAUUUAAAACAUUGAUCCUGAAACUCUGCGGAAAUGCCGCUCAUUCUCUGCAUAUGGCAUGGCAGGAAAGCCAUUUACAGGAUUUGUUCUCCCUGCCAUUGAGAAACAGCAAAGAAAAUGUUGUAAAAGCAUGAGUAAAGACCAACUCUGAGCCUGACCUCUUGAAUCACACUUAAAGGUUUAUUGCCCCAUGAAUCAUACACUCUAAGUUUGUAUGAGCCUGAAGGGAAGUGGAGGUGCAUUAGGCAGCGUUGCCCUGCGGUCUAUAUUCACUGAGAGAGUUCAAAUCAACACUUCCUUUUGUUCUGCAGUCGCUCUUCUGUCAUCUUUUCCACUUGAAAAUACACCCCAUGACAAGCAGUGCAUACAUGUAAUAAUAGCUGUAUUGUUUUAGGUUUCUGGAACAAUGGUAUCUUUAUAUAAAUGUGUAUAAAAGGCUUUUCUGAUGAGACUCUGAGUAAGUGUUUUCCCAUACUUCACAAAGGCUCAUCCCAGGAUGUGUAAUUGGGUAAUGAAUCGCUAAUGAACAGGCCUGGGUGGUCUGUUUAACCAAAACCUGCGGUAAAUCACCAGAGAGCUGCACAUACAUAUACUCAGACGCAACCACACACUUGUUUGAUGUGGGAAAAAUCUGCUUAUAACUCAGUGUGUGUGCAUGUGUGUGUGUCCUUUUUACCCUCCUUUGCCAUGUUUUUAUGAUUAUUACUCAUCAUGGAUGCUACAUGCUGCAAUGGUUUGUUAAUGGGCAGAGGCAGCGGCAGAGACAGUGGGGAGGAAGAAAUAAAAUAUGUCCAGACUAUUUGACGUGCUUUAUUGCACUAUAUUUUAUGUGCUUUUUCUUAUUUUUUUUUGUUGUGUCUGAGUUUGGUUUUGUUUUUAAGACAACGAUUGAAGAGAGUGAAUGUCCAUCCUGCCAUGAUGGCGAUUAUCCUGAUGGGAAAAGUUCAGCUUGUGCUUUUUUUUUUUAAAAACUUUAGUAAUAUUUUGGCUAACUCUGAGCAAGGCCGUUACUUCUCAGCUAGGGGUUACAGUAUACAUUAUAAUCAAAAUCUGAGAAAAUAUUGUAUUAAUGAAUGAAAGAAUGAAAUUUAGUGCUCUAUAUGAAAUAUGAAAACACCAAACACAGGCAUGUUUAAUUGCCCUCAUAUACAGUUACAGUGAGUGCAAAUGUUUGCAUACCCAAAGAUCCAAAACGAAAUGUAAUGUUCUAAUAAAGUUCCUUCAUUAUAACAAAAAUGGUCCAACAGGAAAAUAUUCAUAAUAAAACAAACAAACAUGCAUGUCUAAAGAAGAUAAUAAAUGUGAACAUUUAUUCCAUGUUACAUUCUGCUGCCAUGGUACAUUCUGCAAAUGUGUUGACUUUUAAAUAUUACACACCUUAAAGAGACAAAUUCCUUUAAAUAAAGUAGAACAUGACAAUAGGGAUACAAACUUACGAGCUUGCUACUAAAAUAGAAUAAACGUAAAAAAAAAAAGUAUAAUAAUGACAAAAAUAAAAUAAAAAUAAUAAAUAUCAAAAGAGAGGGAGUUUUAAAUAAUAAAGUAUUAAAAGAGAAUUAAAUAAAAA